rnacentral:rRNA from 1 species
UAGGGAAUCUUCCACAAUGGACGAAAGUCUGAUGGAGCAAUGCCGCGUGAGUGAAGAAGGGUUUCGGCUCGUAAAACUCUGUUGUUAAAGAAGAACACCUUUGAGAGUAACUGUUCAAGGGUUGACGGUAUUUAACCAGAAAGCCACGGCUAACUACGUG